rnacentral:lncRNA from 1 species
CCACAUCCAGCCUGGCCUUGAAUGCCUGCAGGGAUGGGGCAUCCACAGCCUCCUUGGGCAACCUGUUCCAGCUGUGUUAAUGCUUUCCAUUAGGACCCGAAUUCAGGGGCCUGGGGGAGUCAGCCCAGGACAGUGCACAUCUGGCUGGGUCCUCCUUCCCAUCACUGCUCACCGGGGAGGUGAGCUGGAUGGAGGGAGGUAUUAGCACAUGGGGAUGGCAGGGAGGAAGGUAGGAAGGAAAGGAGGACAGGAAAGGCUGUUGCAAUAAAGCAAAACGAGUCAGGUCGUGGAGACCCUGCCCCCUCAGCUUGGUGAUGCUCAGGCUGCUGUUGCAGCCCUGGUCACAGAUCGACACCUCGAGAUGCAGAGACGGGGCUGGGAGGAGCAGGCUCGGCAGCAGCACAGUCUGUGGCUCCCUCUGCUGAGCCCAGCCCCAUCUCCGUGAGCUGCAGGGCUCAGAAAAAGCCGUAUCUUCUGUACAGAAGUGGGAACUGUGGCUGAGCUGAGCAUUGUGCCCCCAGCAGAGAAGAGGCAGAGCUGUGGGCAUCUCCUGCUGCACGCCGCCGGGACCCUGCACCCAAACUGCACGGAGAUGAGGGGCUGCUGAUACAAACAGACCCUCUUUCCAGUGAGCCCAUCAGCGGGACCUGCGGACGCUCCC